GCAAGUUUCAAAUGACUGCGCCGUGAAGGUAGUCCCUUGUAACAACAUAUACAUUUAUGGCACUUAGUCGGAACGUUGGUGGUGCGUUAAGGCAGUGUUUUGGUCGGAAAUGGGCGGUUAUGUCACACGACAGGAGCAGAUGGUUUUGUACCCUAUGGGCAAAGGGCACAUUGACUUGAAGAAGCGCCGUAUUUAAACCGUAAAGCAAUCUAUUACAGCUGGAGCAUAGAGAAAGAAAUCCUACAAGAGGAGACACUCGGCGAAAACUGGUAACAGGAGAUACGUUACGGUAGUAUUAACGCCGACCGUUUGCUGUUCCGAGCAUCGAAAAAAAAAAAGAGGAUGUGAAAUGAAGUUAACAGGCACGGUUUCAUUUUUUUAUUGUUUCCCAGCAAAACUAAAAAUAUCUGCGUAUAAAUUACAUUAUACUUUGCGGCUUACUUUUCUUCCGUUGCCUAGCGACAGGCGAAUGACGAGCCAGAUGCAUGCGUCAUUCGUCAGACACGCCGCCGAAGCGAACGAGACCGGCUACGCAUAUGAACGUUGGUCUGUUCGGCGACCCGUCUGCCUGUUUUUCUAUUUUUAAAUUUAGCCUAGUUUGUUGGGCUCCCGGCGAAUUCUUGUGUUCUUUCUGCACUUCGACACGGCACCCCUGCACUAUUGGACUACGGCAAGCUGACGUCGUCCGGUGGAGCUUCCUACGGGAACUACUGCUGCUUACCUGGUGCCACAACGUUCAAUGCACAAAGCCCACAACAACAUUUAUAUAGAAUAAAAUAAACUUUUCCUCAUUUCAGAA